GUGCUAGUUGAAUAAGCUGGCACCUUGACGGUACCUAACCAGAAAGCCACUGGCUAACUACGUGCCAGCAGCCGCGGUAAUACGUAGGUGGCAAGCGUUAUCCGGAAUUAUUGGGCGUAAAGCGCGCGCAGGUGGUUUCUUAAGUCUGAUGUGAAAGCCCACGGCUCAACCGUGGAGGGUCAUUGGAAACUGGGAGACUUGAGUGCAGAAGAGGAAAGUGGAAUUCCAUGUGUAGCGGUGAAAUGCGUAGAGAUAUGGAGGAACACCAGUGGCGAAGGCGACUUUCUGGUCUGUAACUGACACUGAGGCGCGAAAGCGUGGGGAGCAAACAGGAUUAGAUACCCUGGUAGUCCACGCCGUAAACGAUGAGUGCUAAGUGUUAGAGGGUUUCCGCCCUUUAGUGCUGAAGUUAACGCAUUAAGCACUCCGCCUGGGGAGUACGGCCGCAAGGCUGAAACUCAAAGGAAUUGACGG
rnacentral:rRNA from 1 species